UCUCUCUCUCAGUGGUAGAGCGCUCGCCUAGCAUGUGCAGGGGCCUGGGUUCGAUCCCCAGCACCACAUAA
rnacentral:tRNA from 1 species